GGCUUUAGCCCAGUAGCAGAACAUCUGCUUGGCAUGCAGAAGGUCGCAGGUUCAAUCCCUAGCAUCGCCA